rnacentral:rRNA from 1 species
GUUUUUUUUUUUUUUUUGUUUUUUUUUUUUUCUCCUCCUUCCGUUUCCUUAGUCCUGGCCGGACCGGGGCUACCAUCACUGAAAUGACCCCGUGGGGGGUUAGGGAAAAGGGGAUACCCGUGGUAACUCCCCUUACUUGGGGUUACCCUGGAAAGGGGUUAAAUCUGGUAUUGCUUUUCUUCCAGGGGGUUUGUUAAAAGUAUAUUGGUUUGGAUGGAUCCGGGCCUUUCAACCUUGUGUGAGGUAAGGCUCCACAAGGCGACGACGGGUAGCCGGCCUGAGAGGGUACCGGCCACACUGGGACUGAGACACGGCCCAGACUCCUACGGGAGGCAGCAGUGGGGAAUAUUGCACAAUGGGCGAAAGCCUGAUGCAGCGACGCCGCGUGAGGGAUGACGGCCUUCGGGUUGUAACCUCUUUCAGUAGGGAACAAGGCCAGCAUUUUUGUUGGUUGAGGGUACUUGCAGAAGAAGCGCCGGCUAACUACGUGCCAGCAGCCGCGGUAAUACGUAGGGCGCAAGCGUUAUCCGGAAUUAUUGGGCGUAAAGAGCUCGUAGGCGGUUUGUCGCGUCUGCCGUGAAAGUCCGGGGCUCAACUCCGGAUCUGCGGUGGGUACGGGCAGACUAGAGUGAUGUAGGGGAGACUGGAAUUCCUGGUGUAGCGGUGAAAUGCGCAGAUAUCAGGAGGAACACCGAUGGCGAAGGCAGGUCUCUGGGCAUUAACUGACGCUGAGGAGCGAAAGCAUGGGGAGCGAACAGGAUUAGAUACCCUGGUAGUCCAUGCCGUAAACGUUGGGCACUAGGUGUGGGGGACAUUCCACGUUUUCCGCGCCGUAGCUAACGCAUUAAGUGCCCCGCCUGGGGAGUACGGCCGCAAGGCUAAAACUCAAAGGAAUUGACGGGGGCCCGCACAAGCGGCGGAGCAUGCGGAUUAAUUCGAUGCAACGCGAAGAACCUUACCAAGGCUUGACAUGAACUGGAAAUACCUGGAAACAGGUGCCCCGCUUGCGGUCGGUUUACAGGUGGUGCAUGGUUGUCGUCAGCUCGUGUCGUGAGAUGUUGGGUUAAGUCCCGCAACGAGCGCAACCCUCGUUCUAUGUUGCCAGCACGUAAUGGUGGGGACUCAUAGGAGACUGCCGGGGUCAACUCGGAGGAAGGUGAGGACGACGUCAAAUCAUCAUGCCCCUUAUGUCUUGGGCUUCACGCAUGCUACAAUGGCCGGUACAAUGGGUUGCGAUACUGUGAGGUGGAGCUAAUCCCAAAAAGCCGGUCUCAGUUCGGAUUGGGGUCUGCAACUCGACCCCAUGAAGUCGGAGUCGCUAGUAAUCGCAGAUCAGCAACGCUGCGGUGAAUACGUUCCCGGGCCUUGUACACACCGCCCGUCAAGUCACGAAAGUUGGUAACACCCGAAGCCGGUGGCCUAACCCCCUUGGGGGAGGGAGCUGUCGAAAGGUGGAACGUGCAGUUU